rnacentral:rRNA from 1 species
UACCGAGGGUGCAAGCGUUAAUCGGAAUUACUGGGCGUAAAGCGCGCGUAGGUGGUUUGUUAAGUUGGAUGUGAAAUCCCCAGGCUUAACCUGGGAACUGCGUCUGAUACUGGAUGGCUUGAGUCCGGGAGAGGGAUGCAGAAUUCCAGGUGUAGCGGUGAAAUGCGUAGAUAUCUGGAGGAAUACCGGUGGCGAAGGCGGCAUCCUGGACCGGCAUUGACGCUGAGGAGCGAAAGCCAGGGGAGCAAACGGG